rnacentral:pre_miRNA from 1 species
AAAGUACUCCCUCCAUCCCAAAAUUCUUGUCUUAGAUUUGUCUAAAUACGGAUGUAUCAAGUCACAUUUUAGUAUUAGAUACAUCUGUAUCUAGACAAAUCUAAGACAAGAAAUUUGGGACAGAGGGAGUAGUUG